CGGGUGAGUACACGUGAGUAUCUGCCUUCGAAUCGGGGAUAGCCNCGCGAAAGCGGGGCNUAUACCGGAUGAAGUCCGGAUGGUUUUGGCUGUUUGGAUGAAAGGUGGCCUCUACAUGUAAGCUACUGUUUGAAGAUGAGCUCGCGGACCAUUAGCUUGUUGGUGGGGGUAAGGCCUACCAAGGCAACGAUGGUUAGCUGGUCUGAGAGGAUGAUCAGUCACACUGGAACUGACACACGGUCCAGACUCCUACGGGAGGCAGCAGUGAGGAAUUUUGCGCAAUGGGGGAAACCCUGACGCAGCAACGCCGCGUGAGUGAUGAAGGCCUUCGGGUCGUAAAGCUCUGUCGAGUGGGAAGAACCUGCAUUGGAGAUAAUAUUCCGAUGCACUGACGGUACCACUGGAGGAAGCACCGGCUAACUCCGUGCCAGCAGCCGCGGUAAUACGGAGGGUGCAAGCGUUAUUCGGAAUCAUUGGGCGUAAAGGGCACGUAGGCGGUUUGCUGGGUCGGAUGUGAAAUCCCGGGGCUUAACCCCGGGAAGUGCAUUCGAAACUGGCAGACUUGAGUAUGGGAGAGGGAAGCGGAAUUCCUGGUGUAAAGGCGAAAUUCGUAGAUAUCAGGAGGAACACCGGUGGCGAAGGCGGCUUCCUGGACCAAUACUGACGCU
rnacentral:rRNA from 1 species